rnacentral:rRNA from 1 species
UGGGGAAUAUUGCACAAUGGGGGAAACCCUGAUGCAGCGACGCCGCGUGAGUGAGGAAGUAUUUCGGUAUGUAAAGCUCUAUCAGCAGGGAAGAAAAUGACGGUACCUGACUAAGAAGCCCCGGCUAACUACGUGCCAGCAGCCGCGGUAAUACGUAGGGGGCAAGCGUUAUCCGGAUUUACUGGGUGUAAAGGGAGCGUAGACGGUUAAUCAAGUCAGAAGUGAAAACCCAGGGCUCAACCUUGGGACUGCUUUUGAAACUGAGUAGCUAGAGUGCAGGAGAGGUAAGCGGAAUUCCUAGUGUAGCGGUGAAAUGCGUAGAUAUUAGGAGGAACACCAGUGGCGAAGGCGGCUUACUGGACUGUAACUGACGUUGAGGCUCGAAAGCGUGGGGAGCAAA